rnacentral:tmRNA from 1 species
GGGGCUGAUUCUGGAUUCGACGGGAUUUGCGAAACCCAAGGUGCAUGCCGAGGGGCGGUUGGCCUCGUAAAAAGCCGCAAAAAAUAGUCGCAAACGACGAAAACUACGCUUUAGCAGCUUAAUAACCUGCUUAGAGCCCUCUCUCCCUAGCCUCCGCUCUUAGGACGGGGAUCAAGAGAGGUCAAACCCAAAAGAGAUCGCGUGGAAUGGAAGCCCUGCCUGGGGUUGAAGCGUUAAAACUUAAUCAGGCUAGUUUGUUAGUGGCGUGUCCGUCCGCAGCUGGCAAGCGAAUGUAAAGACUGACUAAGCAUGUAGUACCGAGGAUGUAGGAAUUUCGGACGCGGGUUCAACUCCCGCCAGCUCCACCA